GCCUGGGUGGUUCAGUUGGUUGAGUGUCUGACUUCAGCUCAGGUUGUGAUCUCACAGCUCGUGAGUUCGAGCCCCACAUUGGGCU
rnacentral:tRNA from 1 species